rnacentral:lncRNA from 1 species
AAAAAAAUAUUCAAAAAUAAAAUCUCACAAAUUCAUUAUUUAAAUUCAAAUCUUUACAAAAUAAAAUUAGAAACACUCUCAUUAAAUUGCAAUUUUUAAGGAGAAAAUUGAAAACCCUCAAAACUGCAGUUUUUUAACGGAAAAAUUGUAAAUUCUCUCUCAACUACAAUUUUUGGAUGAAAUAAUUGUAAACUCUCUC